rnacentral:rRNA from 1 species
UUUUUAAGAAAUGAAUUUAAUUCAUGCGCUUUAUUUAUGGCUUAUCUUAUUUUAUUGUUGUUUAUUUGGUGUUAAGAUUGGGGGGGAUUAGCUCUUCGUUUUAUUUUUAUAAUUUUUAUUUUUGUUUAUUUUUGUGGAUUUUAUGGUGAUUUUCGAUUUGAUUAUGUUAAAAUUUUAUUUUUCUUUGUUUUUAUUUUAUUAGGUUUGGGCUUUUUAUUGGAAUAUUUUUUUUAUUUUGUUUUGUUUAGUAAUUAUUGUGGAAUUAGUAAAUUUGUUUUUGUGUUGUUUUAUUGUUUGUUAAUUCUUUUUAAGGAAUUAGGCAAAUUUUUCGUGUCCGCCUGUUUAACAAAAACAUCUUUUCUUGUUAGUUUUUGAAGUAUGGCCUGCCCGCUGACUUUAGGUUGAAGGGCCGCGGUAUUUUGACCGUGCAAAGGUAGCAUAAUCAUUAGUUCUUUAAUUGUGAUCUGGUAUGAAUGGCUUGACGAGGCAUGGGCUGUCUUGGUUAAUAGAUUUUGUGUUGAAUUUGGUUUUUGAGUUAAAAUUCUUAAAUGUUUUUAUGGGACGAGAAGACCCUAUAGAGUUUAACAUUUGGUGUGUAGCUUUAUUUUUGUUAUGUAGUUGUUUUGUACCAUUUGUUUUGUUGGGGUGAUGGGAAGAUUUUUUUUAACUCUUCUUUGUUUUUGUAUAUUUAUUUAUAUUUGUUUUGAUCC